rnacentral:rRNA from 1 species
CUUGACAUACCAUUGACAGGCGCAGAGAUGUGCUCUCCUUCGGCAAUGGAUACAGGUGGUGCAUGGUUGUCGUCAGCUCGUGCCGUGAGGUGUUGGGUUAAGUCCCGCAACGAGCGCAACCCUCAUUGUUAGUUACUACCAUUCAGUUGAGGACUCUAAUGAGACUGCCAACGAUAAGUUGGAGGAAGGUGGGGAUGACGUCAAAUCAUCAUGCCCUUUAUGACCUGGGCUACAAACGUACUACAAUGGCCAAUACAAAGAGAUGCGAAGCGGUGACGUGGAGCGAACCUCAGAAAGUUGGUCUCAGUUCAGAUUGAAGUCUGCAACUCGACUUCAUGAAGGCGGAAUCGCUAGUAAUCGCGGGUCAGCAGACCGCGGUGAAUACGUUCCCGGGUUUU